rnacentral:snRNA from 1 species
UUGCUUAGCUGGCAGGGGAGAUACCAUGAUCAGGGAGGUGGUUUUCCCAGGGCGAGUCUGACCCAUCACACUGGAUGUGCUGACGCCCAAGAUUUCCCCAAACGUGGUGGGAAGCUCGACUGCAUCAUUUGUGGUGGUGGGGAACUGAGUUCGUGAUUUCCCCU